rnacentral:rRNA from 1 species
AUGCAGUGUACCCGCGGCAAGACGGAAAGACCCCGUGAACCUUUACUAUAGCUUGACACUGAACAUUGAGCCUUGAUGUGUAGGAUAGGUGGGAGGCUUUGAAGUGUGGACGCCAGUCUGCAUGGAGCCGACCUUGAAAUACCACCCUUUAAUGUUUGAUGUUCUAACGUUGGCCCGUAAUCCGGGUUGCGGACAGUGUCUGGUGGGUAGUUUGACUGGGGCGGUCUCCUCCUAAAGAGUAACGGAGGAGCACGAAGGUUGGCUAAUCCUGGUCGGACAUCAGGAGGUUAGUGCAAUGGCAUAAGCCAGCUUGACUGCGAGCGUGACGGCGCGAGCAGGUGCGAAAGCAGGUCAUAGUGAUCCGGUGGUUCUGAAUGGAAGGGCCAUCGCUCAACGGAUAAAAGGUACUCCGGGGAUAACAGGCUGAUACCGCCCAAGAGUUCAUAUCGACGGCGGUGUUUGGCACCUCGAUGUCGGCUCAUCACAUCCUGGGGCUGAAGUAGGUCCCAAGGGUAUGGCUGUUCGCCAUUUAAAGUGGUACGCGAGCUGGGUUUAGAACGUCGUGAGACAGUUCGGUCCCUAUCUGCCGUGGGCGCUGGAGAACUGAGGGGGGCUGCUCCUAGUACGAGAGGACCGGAGUGGACGCAUCACUGGUGUUCGGGUUGUCAUGCCAAUGGCACUGCCCGGUAGCUAAAUGCGGAAGAGAUAAGUGCUGAAAGCAUCUAAGCACGAAACUUGCCCCGAGAUGAGUUCUCCCUGACUCCUUGAGGGUCCUGAAGGAACGUUGAAGACGACGACGUUGAUAGGCCGGGUGUGUAAGCGCAGCGAUGCGUUGAGCUAACCGGUACUAAUGAACCGUGAGGCUUAACCUUACAACGCCGAAG